AGAGUUUGAUCAUGGCUCAGGAUGAACGCUGGCGGUAUGCUUAACACAUGCAAGUCGAACGAAAGUUUUUAACUUUAGUGGCGAACGGGUGAGUAAUACGUGAGAAUCUGCCCUUAGGAGAAGAAUAACUGCUGGAAACGGCUGCUAAUACUUCAUAUGCCGAGAGGUAAAAAAGUUUUAACUGCCUAAGGAUGAGCUCACGCCUGAUUAGCUUGUUGGUAAGGUAAUGGCUUACCAAGGCCACGAUCAGUAGCUGGUUUGAGAGAACGAUCAGCCACACUGGGACUGAGACACGGCCCAGACUCCUCCGGGAGGCAGCAGUGAGGAAUUUUCCGCAAUGGGCGAAAGCCUGACGGAGCAAUACCGCGUGAGGGAUGAAGGAUUUUGGUCUGUAAACCUCUUUUCUCAAGAAAGAAGUUCUGACGGUACUUGAGGAAUAAGCAUCGGCUAACUCCGUGCCAGCAGCCGCGGUAAUACGGGGGAUGCAAGCGUUAUCCGGAAUCAUUGGGCGUAAAGCGCCUGUAGGUUGUUUAUUAAGUCUGUUGUUAAAGCCUAGGGCUUAACCCUAGAGAAGCAGUGGAAACUGGUAGACUAGAGUAUGGCAGGGGUAGAGGGAAUUUCUAGUGUAGCGGUGAAAUGCGUAGAUAUUAGAAAGAACACCAGCGGCGAAAGCGCUCUACUGGACCAUCACUGACACUCAGAGGCGAAAGCUAGGGUAGCAAAAGGGAUUAGAUACCCCUGUAGUCCUAGCCGUAAACGAUGGAUACUAGAUGUUGUGUAAUGGCUAAGACAAAGAGUCGCGAGUUUCGUGAGAACCAGCUAAUCUCGUAAACNUAGCCCAAGUUCAGAUUGUAGGCUGCAACUCNCCUACAUGAAGNUGGAAUCGCUAGUAAUCGCUGGUCAGCUAUACAGCGGUGAAUCCGUUCCCGGGCCUUGUACACACCGCCCGUCACACCAUGGGAGCUGGUCAUACCCAAAGUCGUUUGCUUAACCGUNUGGAGAGCUGCGCCUAAGGUAGGGCUAGUGACUAGGGUGAAGUCGUAACAAGGUAACCGUACUGGAAGGUGUGGAUGGAUCACCUCCUU
rnacentral:rRNA from 1 species